GCUAUUGAAAAAUGUAGUUGCUUUGUGUAGAAAUGAAAUUAAAUUGUUACAAAAGCAAAGAAAUAUUCAGUAUAAUCAUAAUUGCUCUGGGAUUUCGUAAAAAUAAUACAAAAUUUUUGAGAAACUAUAUUCGUAGCUGAUAAAAAAACUCAUACUAUUUAAAAACAUUCGUAGGUUUUGCUACCGCACAUGUUGUAAUUACGAAUGGUUCGUAUCUGGUACCAAAAGACAUUCGUAGCACAUUUUGCAUAAGAACGCCUUGGAUGCACGCUUGCUGUCUGGCUUUGUUACCGAGGAGAUCGGGUUGCGAAGAUUCCCCCUAGCGCCAAUCCAUGGUACCGCAAUUAAUGUUUUUUCGAGUGAUCAUGUUCAAUGCGCCGUAGGGGAGGAGGGGGAAGAGGUUCGCAUACGUAAACAAAAUUGUAAAUAUUAGUAUAAAAUGCAAUGUUCAGAAUGCCAAAAACCCGAAUCGAUUCACCUUUCGCGUUGUCAGAAAAAAAAAUUGAAAUAAGGCAAAAAUAUGGUGUAAAAGGUACUAUGCCCCCUUAAGGGGAAACCGAAAGUGGCUCAAAGAUGGCUGGAUAAAUGGCUACCAUUCGAAGCAUGUAUUGUUUUGCGCCUUAAAAAUGCAUCUGUAUUGGCAGAGCACGCUUUCGCCACGUAAUCAGUGCUUCCAGCGCUGUUAUAAUUUCCUAAAACUUGUAAUUCAAUUUAUCGAUCUGCUAUGUAUCAAUAAACGCUCAGCAAAACAUAAUUGCUAAUGGAAAAUAAAUUUAACUGAACAUAUCGAUCAUUACGUGUUCAUAAAA